rnacentral:rRNA from 1 species
CCUACGGGAGGCAGCAGUGGGGAAUAUUGCACAAUGGGCGGAAGCCUGAUGCAGCGACGCCGCGUGAGGGAUGACGGCCUUCGGGUUGUAAACCUCUUUCAGCAGGGACGAAGCGAGAGUGACGGUACCUGCAGAAGAAGCGCCGGCCAACUACGUGCCAGCAGCCGCGGUAAGACGUAGGGCGCGAGCGUUGUCCGGAAUUAUUGGGCGUAAAGAGCUCGUAGGCGGCUUGUCGCGUCGACUGUGAAAACCCGCGGCUCAACCGCGGGCCUGCAGCCGAUACGGGCAGGCUAGAGUUCGGUAGGGGAGACUGGAAUUCCUGGUGUAGCGGUGAAAUGCGCAGAUAUCAGGAGGAACACCGAUGGCGAAGGCAGGUCUCUGGGCCGAUACUGACGCUGAGGAGCGAAAGCGUGGGGAGCGAACAGGAUUAGAUACCCUGGUAGUCCACGCUGUAAACGUUGGGCGCUAGGUGUGGGGGACCUCUCCGGUUCUCUGUGCCGCAGCUAACGCAUUAAGCGCCCCGCCUCGGGGAGUACGGCCGCAAGGCAAAACUUAAAUGAAUUGACG